UAUUGCGCAAUGGGGGAAACCCUGACGCAGCAACGCCGCGUGGGUGAUGAAGGUCUUCGGAUUGUAAAGCCCUGUUUUCUGGGACGAUAAUGACGGUACCAGAGGAGGAAGCCACGGCUAACUACGUGCCAGCAGCCGCGGUAAUACGUAGGUGGCGAGCGUUGUCCGGAUUUACUGGGCGUAAAGGGUGCGUAGGCGGAUGUUUAAGUGGGAUGUGAAAUCCCCGGGCUUAACCUGGGGGCUGCAUUCCAAACUGGAUAUCUAGAGUGCAGGAGAGGAAAGCGGAAUUCCUAGUGUAGCGGUGAAAUGCGUAGAGAUUAGGAAGAACACCAGUGGCGAAGGCGGCUUUCUGGACUGUAACUGACGCUGAGGCACGAAAGCGUGGGUAGCAAACAGGAUUAGAUACCCUGGUAGUCCACGCCGUAAACGAUGGAUACUAGGUGUAGGGGGUAUCAACUCCCCCUGUGCCGCAGUUAACACAAUAAGUAUCCCGCCUGGGGAGUACGGUCGCAAGAUUAAAACUCAAAGGAAUUGACGGGGGCCCCGCACAAG
rnacentral:rRNA from 1 species